GACGAACGCUGGCGGCGUGCCUAAUACAUGCAAGUCGAGCGCAGGAAGCAAGUUGAUCCCCUUCGGGGGUGACGCUUGUGGAAUGAGCGGCGGACGGGUGAGUAACACGUGGGCAACCUGCCUGUAAGACUGGGAUAACCCCGGGAAACCGGGGCUAAUACCGGAUAAUACUUUCUUUUGCAUAAAGGAAAGUUGAAAGGCGGCUUCGGCUGUCACUUACAGAUGGGCCCGCGGCGCAUUAGCUAGUUGGUGAGGUAACGGCUCACCAAGGCGACGAUGCGUAGCCGACCUGAGAGGGUGAUCGGCCACACUGGGACUGAGACACGGCCCAGACUCCUACGGGAGGCAGCAGUAGGGAAUCUUCCGCAAUGGACGAAAGUCUGACGGAGCAACGCCGCGUGAGUGAUGAAGGUUUUCGGAUCGUAAAACUCUGUUGUUAGGGAAGAACAAGUUGGGUAGUAACUGACCCAACCUUGACGGUACCUAACCAG
rnacentral:rRNA from 1 species